GUGAGGUACAGCCGCUCCUCCCCGUGUGGGGAUCUUAUCAGCGCCCCCUACAGCUGGCUGCGGGAGAUGCAAGCGGGGGAUCCAGUCCAUGUAGUUGUGUUGUUACCGUUACCGGAGCGUCUACUCCUCCGCAGAAGAUGGCGGAACUGUCUCCGGUGCUACAGCCGCACAGGGACGGAGGGAGCCGGCUCGGUUACACCAUAUUUCCCGGCUCGGAAUGCGAAUCUGAAGCCGAGCUGUCCCUGAGCCUGGCCCGGAUCAAGACCCGCUCGUACGGGAGCACGGCCACCGUGACGGCGCCCUGGGCUGAACGCUUCAUAGAGCACCGGCUCAGCCCCAGCGACACCCUGCAGGGCAUCGCGCUCAAAUACGGGGUGACGAUGGAGCAGAUUAAAAGAGCCAACAAACUGUUUUCUACUGAUUGUAUCUUCCUGAGGAAAUCCCUAAAUAUCCCAGUUAUAUCUGAAAAGCCUGCUCUUUUUAACGGACUUAACUUAUUGGACUCCCCAGAAAAUGAAUGUGAAGAGGAUAGCAAUGCACUUGGAGAAGAGGUGUCUCUUCCAGAACACCAUGCUUCUCCACCCAGCUCUCCCGAAACAGGCCGAGCAGUAGUUACACAAGAUGAGGAGCUAUCUGCCAAAGACUUCCUUCAAAGAUUAGAUAUGCAGAUAAAGAGGUCCACACAGGCAGCCAAAAGACUGAAAGAAGAAGAAUACCUCAGGGAGCUGAAAACUGCAGAAAACUAUAGACCAUGAGCCCCUGUGCUGGUUUCCUGUAUGAGUUGCGGAAGUAGGUCACAUGGUUAGAGAAUCAGCGAAUACAGGCAUGAAGAGGACAACUCCUAUGCAACUUCUUCCUAUCAGCAUUGAGUGAGAAGCGGAAGCGGACUACCGAUCCACCAACGGAAUAUCUAAGAGACUUCUUCCUAUAAAACAAGCUCCAUAGCUGAUAUUUUAUUACUGUAUUGCACUGAAAGAAGUUCUUUCUUCACAACUAUUCAGUGUCCUUAUUAUGUCACCAUUUAUAAUCUCAGCCUUUCAGAAACUAUAUUAUUUUUCAUUGCAGACAUACUGUAUCUUGUAGCAAACUAUAUGUAAGACAACUUCCUUUGUGUUACAUGAUAUUUUAUCAAGAGGCAGAUCCCACUUCUGAAGACUGUUUCCAAAAUGAACUGCUCAACUGCAGGGUUUAUUUGCAAUAUGGUGUGGAUGUUACUUUAUUUUUUCUUUUUUUAUUGCAACUUUUACUGGUAAAUGAAUUGAGUUAAUCUCUGUUAAGAAUUUCUGGUCUAAAAACAGAAUCACUUAUUAGCCAAAGUCUGAAGGGGUUUCAGAAGGAAUAAGAAAUGAAAAGGAAAUCCUUUGGCUCCAAAAAUUGUACAAAAAAAACAUACAAAAAAAACAUGCAAAAUAAAUGGUUUCUCAUCCUUUGUUUCCAGUGGUGACAAUGUCAAAUUGCUCAAGAACUGAUCCAACCUAGCUGUCCCAGACUCUUCAAGUGCCUAAUAAUUCUGCUGUAACAGACCCCCACCCCCUGCCACACACCAUAUAUUCUUGAAUUAGAGGGAGACACAGGUGACCAUACAUAUAGAAUUAGUAAUGGUAGCCACUUGCGGUUGUUGGAAACGAGUUAAAGGGGUACUCCGGUGGAAAACUUAUUUUUAUUUUUUUAUCAAAAAAAGUUAAACAGAUUUAUAAAUUACUUCUAUUAAAAAAUCUUAAUCCUUCCAGUACUUAUUAUCUGCAGAAUACUACAGAGGAAAUUCUUUUCUUUUUGGAACACAGAGCUCUCUGCUGAAUCACGAACACAGUGCUCUCUGCUGACAUCUCUGUCCAUUUUAGGAACUGUCCAGAGCAGCAUAUGUUUUCUAUGGGGAUUUUCUCCUACUCUGGACAGUUCUUAAAAUGGACAGAGGUGUCAGCAGAGAGCACUGUGGUCAUGAUGUCAGCAGAGAGCUCUGUGUUCCAAAAAGAAAAUAAUUUCCUCUGUAGUAGUCAGCAGCUAAUAAGUACUGGAAGGAUUAAGAUUUUUUAAUAGAAGUAAUUUACAAAUCGGUUUAACUUUCUGGCAUCAGUUGAUUUAAAAAAUAAUAAUAAUAAUUUCCACCAGAGUACUCCUUUAAGAAUAGGCAAAGAGAAUUUGCAACAAAUUGACUCAAGACUAUUGAGGACAACUCAAUGACUUAUUUACUAUAGAUUUUUGGUUUUAGCUGUUUGGUCAUUUAACAUGCAUUUACAUGCAGCUUUCUUUUAUUAUUUUUACUUUUUAAUGUGCUGAGAGGAUGCAGUUAUUUUUGUGUGUGUUGAUUAAAAUCUUAAACUGUC